GCUGUUAGCUCAGUGGUAGAGUGCCUGCCUAGUAAACAGAAGGCCAUGGGUUCAAUUCCCAGAACUGCA
rnacentral:tRNA from 1 species